rnacentral:lncRNA from 1 species
CCACAAUGUUCGUCUUUUUGCUUUGGCUGCUAGGAAGCUCAGAGCUGUUUUGCAGAGGCAGAUGCUUUCACCAGCCUGUUUCCCCACCCCCCAAGGAUAAAUAGAUACCUUGGGUUUGCCCUCUUUUUAUCCUUCUUUUCAUAAUUACAGACAAGGGUUGGAGACCAGGAGGGGCCAAGUACACACCAAGAGUCGGAACAGGGAUGGGCACGCUUUGGUCCUCUUGGUCUCUGGCAAACACCAGGGGUAAAAUGGAAGGAAAUGUGCAGGGACCCUGCUCUUCACAGGGAGGAAGCCUCGCCUGUGAGGCAGAAUCCAUGAAGGAGGGUCAGGGACAAUGGAGGAGAGGAAAUAGCACACAGGUGCCACAGCUUAAAAAGGUAUGAAACCCCUGGAUCUGGAAACCCACAUCCCAGGAAGCCCACACCUCGGGCCUUUCCUACUCCAACUGAUCAAGGCAGAC